GAGGCGCAAGGAAGACUGGCGGAUCCGGGCGCAGCGUUGAGGGAUCUGGCAGCUGGUGCGGCAGCUUGCUCCGAUGGCGGCGUCGUCCUGCUCAUCCAGAGAAAGAGAGGGAUAGGGCGUGAGGGAGAGAGGAAGGAAGGAGAAGGAGAAGGGGCGCAGGGUGAGGGAAGCGGGCAGGACGGGGUGCUCCUGUUGAGGCGGCGGGAGACCGCGGGACACGGUGCUGGCUGUUUCCGCGGGAUCGAGCUUUGGCAGAAAGGAUUGAGCAGCCACUGCGCUGGAGUAGAAUGUGUGACAGAUCGACAAACACUUGGAUGCUCAACCUGUAUGUCUACAUGGCACAGUAAUGAAGAUUAACCGUUCAAUCUAUUGAUUCAGAGUGAGACAAGGCCAAAACAGAAUAAGCUCAUUUUUGUGCAUGAAUUAGGCGCUUUCAUAUGAAGCUGGACAUGUUUACAGUGAUCGACCCGAUAUCGUUACACCAGUCUUCAAUAUGAAGUUUCAUGAUUUAUGAGAAGAUGUUAAAAGUGGACAUUUGUUUGGUACAAUUCAAGCAUAUUUAUACAUCAUGGAAUUCCGGAAAAGAGGUUUCCCUCAUACUCAUACUUUAAUUUGGCUUAAAGGGAACAAUCAUGAGCUGUCGGCCUCCUUCAUAUAUACAUGGUAUCUUUCUGCUUGCAAAGCGUACUGGUGUAUGUUUGCUUUCAAUAUACAUGGUCGUGAGCCUUCAGUGGAGAGAUUGGUUGUUCACCUUCCUGGUAUGAAUGCAGUAAUUUUUCAUCGGGAUUCUUGGUUGGGCAAAGUCGUCAAAAAUCCAAAUGUACACAAAACAAAGCUAACUGAAUGGUUUGUGACUAAUUAAGAUAAUGAGGAUUCUAAGACAUUUUUUAUACUUAAAUUUCCCAUGAGGAUGGACUUGGGAUAAUUCUGAUAAAAUGUGGAACAAGGGGCAAAGGAAAGAAAAGCUUGGUGGCCGAAUCAUCUGGUUUCACGAUGUGCAUCCUGGAACUAUGGAACUUUUCUAUCUUCGGACAUUGCUCAUAGUGGUCACAGGUUGCUACAUGCUUAGAAGAUGUCAGAUGUUAUAAUGGGGUCACUACUGUUGCCUGGUGGACGAACAGACCAUCAUCAGUUCAAGUACCCAUUGAGACUAGAAGCGAUCGUCCAUGCUCUAUUUCCAGAGGUUCUCAGCAUGCAACUUUGAUUGAAAAAGCCAGUUUAGUCUUGUGGUAUGAAGCUCCAAUGGUCUAUCAUCCCUGCUUCGAAACUGUUGACAGAACAUUCAGAGAUAUAUUAUCAGUGCGCAGUUCUGCUAUGCUAUUUCCUUUGGUGGCAAGGUUGUUGUUCUUGGUGGGGAUUUCAGAAGUGCUUCUUGUUGUGGAAGGUGAUGCCAAAAAUGAGAUCAUUGGUGCUUCCUCUGAAGCUACUACAUUCUACAACGAUUAACAAUUUUCCAAGUUGACCGUGACACUGCCACAUACAGUUAGCCGCGCAACAAACAUAUCCGGUUAAAAAUUCUCAUCAAGGAUGAUUCCCUCACCUGAUUUUGAUGGUUAUGGCUAUGAAUACAUUGUUCUCUUACUGCUCCGUCAUCAUCCUGUUGCUCGACCAUGUUUCUCAAUUUUGGACUCCAUUUCAAUACUGCUGGAGUAUGCAGUAUUCGUAUUUAUUACGUAAGGUUUAUUCAUUUUAAUAAUUUAAUGCCAAAUUACUGAUCCGGGGUUUCCUUCUUGCAACUUUUAAUGUUAUACACUGGCGCAAGCUAGAGAGGCCUCCUCUGCAUCUUGUUGCUAUUGGCUCUGCUGUAUAUUCUUUGAUUAGUUAUAGAAAAGCAACAUGGAGAAGCACAUGGUGAGUUGGUGACCACUUGCUGAUGCGCCAGGUGCCUACAUAUAUCUUGAAAGAUCACGGUUGAUGAUAGUCUACAUUUAUGUUAAGUGCUUGAUGUGGUAACAAAGUUUUUUUUCCUUGAUUUAUCUGAUGAAAAAUAUGUUUUUUCCCAUGAAGUUAUUUAGACAUUUCUUUGGUUUUUCUGUUGAAGAGCAGUUGUGCUUAGGGCAAGUGGCAAAGCAUUUCUUUGGUUAUCACCUCUGUCGCAUAAGCAUUAGAUGUGCCCCGAGCCAGAGCAGUGCACAUGAACAGGCAGAACCGCAUGAGCCCACGAGUGCGAUCAGCAGUGUACUCCCACCUUCCGGCAAGCCCGACUGGGUGGGCGGAGGAGCGGUAGCGACCGCUGCGUCCAGCCAGAGUUUCCGGGAGGUUCUGCACCUGCCAGGACGCUAUGUCGCAGGCCACCGCUGCUCCUCCUCUGCUUGCCAUGGCGGCGGUGCUGAUGGACAGGUGCGCGAGGUAGGGGAAGUUGAGGGAUGCGGAGGUGGGCGAGGAGGACAUGGCAGUCAUCACGGUACCGUGAUAGUUUAAUCUGUAGUCCACCUCCUUACAUUCAUUCCCUGCUAAAAUAGUAAGUGGCUUGUUCUGUCAGUUACAUAUAUCCUGAACUCUGAUAUGCAGUAGUCUUCAUAAGGAGUUACCUUGGAACCAAGAAAGUUGCUUUAAUUUUUGUUGAUAUGACGACGAAAAAAAUAAUGAAUACAAGAACUUUUUGUCUUGUGUCUGGCAUGCUUGAAAUUGCUGGAUUGAAAAGUAAUGUAGGGUGGGUGGAUGUGUGAAAUUAAUAUAUUGGAUUUGCCAGCCGUGAGUACUGCUAGAUCGGUGAUGGUGCUCUGUUCCUUAUGUUGUUUAUCUCUGCAUCUAUAGAGCUUUAGCAAAUGGUGCUCUGUUCCUUAUGUUGUUUAUCUCUGCACCUAUAGAGCUUUAGCAAAUGUACAUAUGGUGCUCUGUUCCUUAUGUUGUUUAUCUCUGCACCUAUAGAGCUUUAGCAAAUGUACAUACUGAUUCAGGCAUGCACUAACUCUGAUUGAUACUACAAAUGCACACAUGGUUGUGUAAUUUUUUCCCCUCGAAUACACACGAGUGUGCGUACAAUAUUAAAGGAGAGGAUGGGGGUAAAGAGAUACAAUCCCAACUGCCCACAUUAUCUAAGCUCUAAAUCUGGCGUCUGCCCACGUUGCGAAAGCCCCAAGGAAGUCUUCGACCUCUCCAUUUAGGAUGCCUGCUCUCUUGGGGACUUUGUGUAAAUUGGUAACUAUCUUAGUCAGUUAUAGAAGUAGUAUUGGCGGUGUGAAAUUACAUCUUUUGUGGCGACACUGCUGCUGAGAAAUUAUUGGCAUAUUUGGUGAAGGAUAAGGUCUGGAAAUCGAGGUUUUUUUUUUACAAGUAAGCUGUAUUUCAUUCUUCUCCUGUCAUUCUCAGCAAUAGAUAAAUUAUAAAAUGUAUGUACGGGUAGGCAUGUUAUGAUUGAUGCUACAACACACAUAAUUAUAUACUAAGUACUUAUCUUCAGAAUUUUCUGCAUUGUCUAAUGUGUGCAUAUGUACUUGUGUUGAUAGGAUGCGGCUUCGGUGCAUAAUCUCUACUCCUAAUGGAGCAGUUGGUAGCUUGGUACUCCGGUUUUAUUUUCGUCCGGUUUUAUUUUCUCUACUCCUAAUGGAGCAAUUGGUAGCCUGGUAGUCCAGUUUUAUUUUCUGUUUUUUAUCACACCUCCCACUGGUUUCAAUCAUUUUGGAUCGGUCUCGAUCUCUUUCCCUCGAUCGCUCCCUCUCCAUUCAAGAUCUCCUUCCCGAUUCUGAUUUCUUCUUCCUUUCAUGGUCUUUUGUUUCCUUUUAUAUUGACCGCAAUUUCACCCAGAACUGGUAAGUGCUUAUUCAAUCGAAUCAUCGAGAUCAAUCAUCCUAACCAGAUUUGGUAAUUGGCAAUCGAAAUCAAUACACAAGAUCUCUCCUUCCUUUUCCACAUGAUUUUCAAUUUCACCCUUUCCAUUGUAAAGCGGUAGCCUCCUCCUCAUGUAAAGUGAUAGCCACAAUUGCGUUCGUCCUGAAUUUCCCGAAGGUUCUCCUCCUACCGGGACGCCGUGUCCCGGGCCACCUCUUUUCCCCUUUCCAUUGCAGGAAGAUCUGUGCCCGAACCCCGAGCGACGAGGCCGCGCAGAUCGUGGGCUGCAGCAGCUGCUGGUUGUGACACACGUCAUCGGUUGGAGGGGCGCAUUUGGUGGCCCCAUCGCGCUCUGAUCAAUGGUGACCUAAGGUUCUGUCCAUCUUCUCCUCUCUUUCGUCGAUGGCUGCUCAUAGGGGGACGGCGACCUGAAUACGUAAACCAUCUAUGCAUGGGCCGGUGUAUUAAGAAAGUUUAUCAACAAUCACACACCAAUGCUUUUGCACUAUAUGAAUUUCCCUUUAUGACUGUUUUCGUGGGAGCCUUCUAGAUGUACUUCUGUAGUUCCUAACAUGGUUGUAGGUUAAAUGUUUCUGCUGGUUUAUUUUUCUGUGGAAUCUGCCCCUAUUCACAUGUUACUACCAUCUUCAUAUGUAGUUGUGGAAAUAAAAUCAGAGAAUGAUCUCGCUGCUUUACUCCUUAUUUCUUAUUUGAAAUGCAUUUCUUCAUGUGAACACCAGGGUUUGUUGAGUGGCAACACGUGGUGAGAUGGACAACAACUCAGCUUGGCAUCAGGCAAAGGAGAAUAAUGCACAUGUGAUAUUAUCUACAUUGAUUCCCUUCUUAAAAUUGUUGUAUUAUGUUAACUUGCCAUCUACGUACUAGAAUUGGUCACAAAUGAUAGUGCAGUUUGAAGGUAAAAUAUAUGUGUUUUCAUUCUGUCAUUGAAUAGUCAGAUCGAUCCUUAAUAAAGCAUGUGCAUCUAAUGUCACCACUAUAGAGACUUGAUCUAUUCAUUUUGUCGUGCUUACACAUUAAUAUUAGUGUCUGUUGCUGGUAAGACAAGGUACACCUUGACGGUUGAUUAUUUUCUGUUUCAAAUUCUAGAGCACAACAUUUAUCUCUAGCGCCAGCAUGGAGUUUGAUACCAACUGUUAGUUAAGCUUCGUCUUCUUUUUUUGCAUGGUCUGACUGCUCACAUAUCCACCUUUCCAGAACACCCAACUAUUUCCUCCGGUGAACUGCGUAGAGCUUCUAUGUGCAUCUCUGUUAUGUUUAACUACGACAGGCUUAUGUAAUCUUAUCAUGAAGUCAUUUUUGCCAUUUGUGCACAACGUGACUGCAUGUAAAUAUGUAAUGCACCAACUUUGUUCUUCCUUUUUAUGUAAUGCACCAACUUUGUUCUUCCUUUUUUGUUGUUUUAUUGACUCAGUUUACCAUCUCAAAUGACAUUCCCUUUAUAACUAGCACAUCAUCUCCAGAGAAUCUUUUUAAGUUGAAAUCCAGUAAUUAAAUGUUGAUUGCAUAAGCAGGCUGAUGGUAUCUUGUUCAAAGAAUUUUAUUCCUACUGGAUGGAACUAAAUCUGUUCUUUCCUGAAAUAUAUUGGCACGCAAAGAACUAAAUCUAUCUACAAUGUCUUUGGGCAUAUUCUGAAUUUUGCAGAGUUAGCACAAACCUGAAAGCAUUUAUGCAGCUCCCAGAUGUUGCAGGCAAGAGGAAGGGGUUAACAAAAUCAUGCUGGUAGCCGAAGCGUGCCUCUUUGGGCUUCCGUAACAGAUGAGGCAGAGUAAUAAGCAAUAAAGAGAAGCCCAAGAGAAGCCCACCGAUGGAUCUCUCUUAUCCCUUCCUCUUCCUGGCAGCAGAACAGACGAUGCCACCCACGCACCAUCGAUGCCCUGCAGCCGACUGCUUCGGCGUUCUUCCACGCGAGCGAGCAGAGGCACCCCAUGGCGCCUCCUCCUCUCCUUCUCUUGGCGCGCGAAGACCUCGACGGAGCCACCUCCAUCGCGUCAUCGAUCUGGCCGCCGCCUCACCUGCGGCUCGAUCUUAUCUGGGAGAGAUGGUGAGGGGUGGGGGUGGCGGAGUAAGGGGAGCCGGAGAGGAAGAUCCGGUGCAGGACUCCCACGCUGCAGACUUGAGGCACCCAACCACGGCCACGUCGACGACUCUGCCUCCUGAAGGACGACAUCCACCACCUCCCUCCCUGCCGCCCAGAAGUGACGAGGUUGCCGCCUCUCGGCAACUUUCUGUGCUCUCGCAGAAAUUCCCCUUCAGAUAGUGGAGCGCCGUCGCUCCCAUAGUCUUCAGCAUCAGUGUCAUCACAGAUCUGUUCUCUUUUUCAUGAAGUUGGCUGGGUGCUUUGGCCACAUGACAACUUCCAUUUGAAAUAUAAAAUAUAUAAAUCAGUGAAGUUGAUGUCAUACAACUCAUGUUUCGUCACUGUACGAACAAACUUUGAGAUCUAUAUUGCCAUCCCAACAGAUCAAGACAUGGAUUACAUAUUAAAAGUGCAUCAAUGUUUUGUCGUUUAACACCAUGUGUGGAUAUAUCAUUGACAACCAAUGGUUUUUUAUGCUUGAAAAAUACUUCAUCGCUGCAAUAUGAUGAUUCAUUGGAUUAUUCUAUUUUUUGGUCAAUUUGAUUGUGGGAAUGACCCAAAAUUUGUCAAAGGAGCAAUGGAGUGGGUGCUCAAAUCUUCAUCUUUCGGCUGCUUUAAAAUGAUUCGGCAUCUGCAAGUAAUGUUCCCUUCUUAUGUGAGUAAGGGCUCCUGAUUCCAUGGCGUGCCUUAGUCUUUUGGCGGGCAUAUUUAAAGUUGAGGGAUCUUUUAUUCCAUUUCAAUUUUCUUUGGAAAUCUUCUGCCGGCUCAAGUGCUCAUGUCAAGGAAUAUAGCUGUAUUUUUCUUGGAUUUUUCAUUUGCCUUGCAAUGCUAAUGGAGAAAAGGCAACAAAAACUAUUCGAGGGAGAGAUUGUUAACGAAUAGAUCAACAAACUAUUUGUCAUGGAAAUUGCUAUUUGGAGA